UACGAAGGGGGCUAGCGUUGCUCGGAAUUACUGGGCGUAAAGCGCACGUAGGCGGAUUGUUAAGUCGGGGGUGAAAUCCUGGAGCUCAACUCCAGAACUGCCUUCGAUACUGGCGAUCUCGAGUUCGGGAGAGGUGAGUGGAACUGCGAGUGUAGAGGUGAAAUGCGUAGAGAUCGGCAGGAACACCCAGGGGGAAACCAGUGGACUGGCACGGUGCUGACGCUCAGGUGCGAAAGCGUGGGGAGCGAACCGG
rnacentral:rRNA from 1 species